UCCGGGUGCGGAAAUUUCUCGCUGCAUUGGAGACCUGUUUGUCACCUUCUGCUGUUGUCUGUUCUAUGGUCGGGUUGUUGUCUCUUUGACACAUUCCUUAUUUCCAUUCUAAAUUUUAUCAUUUAGGUGGUUUUGGGGUUUUAAAUAGUCAAACUAUUUUCUACAGCACCUACUUCGUUGUCGACAGACAAAUAAUAAAAUAUACACACAACAAUAAACCCCUAAAACCUUGAGGUGUACACAGGAAGGAAACGAAGUUCCUGCUUCUUGCAAGACAGCAGUCAUGUUAACAUUUUAGCAGUUGCUGAAUAAAUGGAAUGUCCAAAUACAAUUGAUAAAUCAAGUUUUAUACCAUCUUGUUUUGAUCAAUAUUGUCAAACCUAUUAUUGUAUGUUUACUCGCUCUCCCUUACUCUUCAAGCUUCACCUCAAAUAUUUGAAAACUAAAUUAUUUUUGCUACUUAUUGACUUUCAAAUUAAAAUACUAGAUAUUGCUAGCAGGAUAAGGUUAGUAAGCCUUUGAAUUAAUCAAUACACUGUGCGUUUUAAAAUUCUGAUGAAAACAAAGAUUAUGAUUGAUACUAAAAUGAGUGCACCUGUCCUAUACCAGGUAUACAUUUUAAAUUACAAAAUAUUGCUACUAUUUAUAUGAAUUUGUUAUCUAGAAUUAACUGAAUUUGAUUGUGCCUAGUAGUUUUUUAUGAAACAAAACUAACCUUCAUUUUCAUAUCGUGCUUUAGUGUAAAAA
rnacentral:lncRNA from 1 species